rnacentral:misc_RNA from 1 species
AAAAAUAAGAGGAGAAAGCUUGAGACUACUAAAUGAAGAAACUGCAACACCAUAUGGCAGCAAUACGAAAAAGAAAACUGCACAUGCCUACCUCAACUAACUUAAAAAGGUCAAUAUCUGUUACAGGCGAAUGCACUGCUUAUGCCCUCAAUCCAAAGCAAUUAUAAGAUACCCACUGGCAAAUUUUUCUCCAGACUCCCUUUCUAGAUUUGCACUCUCUCAGUCCAGCCAAUGUUGUAUCUUCUGUGUUCUCCUCUAUCCAAACUUGUUCCCAAAAUUAUCCCAAGAUUAGACUUGUUUUCCUGGUGUACAAAAAUAUAAAUCAUAUCCAUCUUUUAGUAGUUACUAGGCCAGUUGAUCUGUUGA